UACGUAGGGAGCGAGCGUUGUCCGGAAUCAUUGGGCGUAAAGAGCAUGUAGGUGGAUCAAUUAGUCUGCUGUGAAAGUCAAAGGCUCAACCUUUGAAAGCCGGUGGAUACUGCCGGACUAGAGUUCGGAAGAGGCGAGUGGAAUUCCCGGUGUAGCGGUGAAAUGCGCAGAUAUCGGGAGGAACACCAAUGGCGAAGGCAGCUCGCUGGGACGUUACUGACGCUGAGACGCGAAAGCGUGGGGAGCAAACAGG
rnacentral:rRNA from 1 species